CAGUGCCUGGUGGGUAGUUUGACUGGGGCGGUCUCCUCCCAAAGAGUAACGGAGGAGCACGAAGGUGGGCUAAUCACGGUUGGACAUCGUGAGGUUAGUGCAAUGGCAUAAGCCCGCUUAACUGCGAGAAUGACGGUUCGAGCAGGUGCGAAAGCAGGUCAUAGUGAUCCGGUGGUUCUGUAUGGAAGGGCCAUCGCUCAACGGAUAAAAGGUACUCCGGGGAUAACAGGCUGAUACCGCCCAAGAGUUCAUAUCGACGGCGGUGUUUGGCACCUCGAUGUCGGCUCAUCACAUCCUGGGGCUGAAGUCGGUCCCAAGGGUAUGGCUGUUCGCCAUUUAAAGUGGUACGCGAGCUGGGUUUAGAACGUCGUGAGACAGUUCGGUCCCUAUCUGCCGUGGGCGUUGGAAGAUUGAAGGGGGCUGCUCCUAGUACGAGAGGACCGGAGUGGACGAACCUCUGGUGUUCGGGUUGUGUCGCCAGACGCAUUGCCCGGUAGCUAAGUUCGGAAUUGAUAAGCGCUGAAAGCAUCUAAGCGCGAAGCGAGCCCUGAGAUGAGUCUUCCCUGACAGUUUAACUGUCCUAAAGGGUUGUUCGAGACUAGAACGUUGAUAGGCAGGGUGUGUAAGCGUUGUGAGGCGUUGAGCUAACCUGUACUAAUUGCCCGUGAGGCUUAACCAUACAACACCCAAGGGGUUUUGUA
rnacentral:rRNA from 1 species